AUCCAACAUUAGUAAGAAAACAAAGCAUUGCGAUGGUCCUCGCGGAUGCUGACGCAAUGUGAUUUCUGCCCAGUGCUCUGAAUGUUAAAGUGAAGAAAUUCAACCAAGCGCGGGUAAACGGAGAGUAACUAUGACUCUCUUAAGGUAGCCAAAUGCCUCGUCAUCUAAUUAGCGACGCGCAUGAAUGGAUUAACGAGAU
rnacentral:ncRNA from 3 species